UUUUUUUCUGUAAGCUUUCUACAGCCUUAGGCCCAGUUACCAAACCCGACAGAGCUCAGUUCUAUUCUGCCAGAGUCAAAUCUCGACGUAGGAAGUGACUGAAUGUAUCAGGACACACAGGACAGGCUUUCCUGUGCCGUAUUCUUCAUGCUUUUCCUUCUGUGGAUUGGGCUGUAUUUCAUACAUAUAUUUCACCCGUAGCUGUACAGAAAAGAGAAGGCACUGAUUUGUCAGGAAGCUCUCUACAACCAGCUGAAAAAGAGAAUCUUAGCCAAGAUGUUGUGAGAGAGAUGAAAAUGGAGACUGACAGAUUACUUCUCUCUGUGGUGAAGAAAAUACUGUAGCUAAGAAACUCAGCCUUUCUGUUCAUGAUUCAAAUAAAAUCCACUUUCCAUCUCCAUAGGAGGCUAGAUUUAAAAAGAGGUGCCUCCACCACUGUAGGAACCAUGUAUAUCAAGUAGCCAUGC